rnacentral:rRNA from 1 species
GACGAACGCUGGCGGCGUGCCUAAUACAUGCAAGUUGAGCGAUGAAGAUUGGUGCUUGCACCAAUUUGAAGAGCAGCGCACGGGUGAGUAACGCGUGGGGAAUCUGCCUUUGAGCGGGGGACAACAUUUGGAAACGAAUGCUAAUACCGCAUAAUAACUUUAAACAUAAGUUUUAAGUUUGAAAGAUGCAAUUGCAUCACUCAAAGAUGAUCCCGCGUUGUAUUACCUAGUUGGUGAGGUAAAGGCUCACCAAGGCGAUGAUACAUAGCCGACCUGAGAGGGUGAUCGGCCACAUUGGGACUGAGACACGGCCCAAACUCCUACGGGAGGCAGCAGUAGGGAAUCUUCGGCAAUGGACGAAAGUCUGACCGAGCAACGCCGCGUGAGUGAAGAAGGUUUUCGGAUCGUAAAACUCUGUUGGUAGAGAAGAACGUUGGUGAGAGUGGAAAGCUCAUCAAGUGACGGUAACUACCCAGAAAGGGACGGCUAACUACGUG